UACGUAGGUGGCAAGCGUUGUUCGGAUUUACUGGGCGUAAAGGGCGUGCAGGCGGUCUGUUAAGUUCAGGGUGAAAGCUCCCGGCUCAACUGGGAGAGGUCCUUGGAUACUGGCAGACUUGAGGGAGGUAGAGGAGAGUGGAAUUCCCGGUGUAGUGGUGAUAUGCGUAGAUAUCGGGAGGAACACCAGUGGCGAAGGCGGCUCUCUGGGCCUUUCCUGACGCUGAGACGCGAAAGCGUGGGGAGCGAACCGG
rnacentral:rRNA from 1 species